rnacentral:rRNA from 1 species
UACGAAGGGGGCUAGCGUUGUUCGGAAUCACUGGGCGUAAAGGGCGCGUAGGCGGCCGAUCAAGUCGGGGGUGAAAGCCUGUGGCUUAACCACAGAAUGGCCUUCGAUACUGUUUGGCUUGAGACCGGAAGAGGUUAGUGGAACUGCGAGUGUAGAGGUGAAAUUCGUAGAUAUUCGCAAGAACACCAGUGGCGAAGGCGGCUUACUGGUCCGGAACUGACGCUGAGGUGCGAAAGCGUGGGGAGCAAACAGGG